CUGCUGUGAUGAAUUCUCGAACUCUCUCUUACUGAAUUUAUUUGAAGAGAACUUGAUGAGAUUCUGAGCAGC